rnacentral:tRNA from 1 species
GCCUGCGUGGCUUAGUUGGUUGAGCGUCUGACUUUGGCUCAGGUCAUGAUCUCGUGGUUCAUGGGUUCAAGCCCCGCAUCGGGCU